GAUGAACGCUAGCGACAGGCUUAACACAUGCAAGUCGAGGGGUAGCGGGACGUAGCAAUACGUUGCCGACGACCGGCGGACGGGUGCGUAACGCGUAUGCAACCUGCCCUUGUUAGGGGGAUAACCCGUUGAAAGACGGCCUAAUACCGCAUAAUACUGUUGAUCUGCAUGGAUUGACAGUUAAACAAAAAGGAACAAGGAUGGGCAUGCGUUCCAUUAGAUAGUUGGCAGGGUAACGGCCUACCAAGUCUACGAUGGAUAGGGGAACUGAGAGGUUAACCCCCCACACUGGUACUGAGACACGGACCAGACUCCUACGGGAGGCAGCAGUGAGGAAUAUUGGUCAAUGGGCGAGAGCCUGAACCAGCCAAGUCGCGUGAAGGAAGACGGCCUUAUGGGUUGUAAACUUCUUUUACAGGGGGAUAAAAAGGGGCACGUGUGCUCUAUUGCAAGUACCCUGUGAAUAAGCAUCGGCUAACUCCGUGCCAGCAGCCGCGGUAAUACGGAGGAUGCGAGCGUUAUCCGGAUUUAUUGGGUUUAAAGGGUGCGUAGGCUGAAGAUUAAGUCAGCGGUGAAAUUUUAGGGCUUAACCCUGAAAGCGCCGUAGAAACUGGUUUUCUGGAGUAUAGAGGAAGUAAGCGGAAUUCGCGGUGUAGCGGUGAAAUGCAUAGAUAUUGCGAAGAAUGCCGAUUGCGCAAGCAGCUUACUACGGUAUAACUGACGCUGAAGCACGAAAGCGUGGGGAUCAAACAGGAUUAGAUACCCUGGUAGUCCACGCCGUAAACGAUGAUUACUGGCUGUUUGGUUGUAAGACUAAGCGGCUAAGCGAAAGCGUUAAGUAAUCCACCUGGGGAGUACGCCGGCAACGGUGAAACUCAAAGGAAUUGACGGGGGCCCGCACAAGCGGAGGAACAUGUGGUUUAAUUCGAUGAUACGCGAGGAACCUUACCCGGGCUCGAACGGCAGAAGAAUACGGAUGAAAGUCUGUAGCCAGCAAUGGUUUCUGUCGAGGUGCUGCAUGGUUGUCGUCAGCUCGUGCCGUGAGGUGUCGGCUUAAGUGCCAUAACGAGCGCAACCCCUACUGACAGUUGCUACCAGGUUAAGCUGAGGACUCUGUCGGGACUGCCGGCGUAAGCUGUGAGGAAGGUUGGGAUGACGUCAAAUCAGCACGGCCCUUACGUCCGGGGCGACACACGUGUUACAAUGGGCGGCACAGCGGGAAGCCACUUGGCGACAAGGCGCAGAUCCCCAAAGCCGCUCCCAGUUCGGAUCGGAGUCUGCAACUCGACUCCGUGAAGCUGGAUUCGCUAGUAAUCGCGCAUCAGCCAUGACGCGGUGAAUACGUUCCCGGGCCUUGUACACACCGCCCGUCAAGCCAUGGAAGCCGGGAGUACUUGAAGUAUGCGACCGCAAGGCGCGUCCGAGGGUAAUACCGGUAACUGGGGCU
rnacentral:rRNA from 1 species